UACGUAGGGGGCAAGCGUUGUCCGGAAUCAUUGGGCGUAAAGCGCACGUAGGCGGCCCGAUAAGUCCGCUGUAAAACGUCAAAGGCUCAACCUUUGAAAGCCGGUGGAUACUGUCGGGCUAGAGUCCGGAAGAGGCGAGUGGAAUUCCUGGUGUAGCGGUGGAAUGCGUAGAGAUCCGGAGGAACACCAGCGGCGAAGGCGGCAUCCUGGACUGGUCCUGACACUCAUGAGCGAAAGCGUGGGGAGCGAGUCCGG
rnacentral:rRNA from 1 species